rnacentral:lncRNA from 1 species
CUGUCACUUGGAGUUUUUGUAUAUUUUUGAAAGAAACUUAGCAUACAUUUUUAUCCUCAUAGGUUCUCUUAGAUAUAUCUCACUGAGGUUGUUUUAAUUUGCAAAAAUUCUCAAGCAUACUUACUUUGCAUUUAUUGCCUGAUCAAAACGGGAUCCGAGAAGGGGAAUGUCAUACUCUUAGAUCAAAGACUUUGGAAAUUAAAAUCUUUGUCAACUCUUACUGGCAUAUUGCUUAUUAGAGGGACCAUGGGCUAUCAUUUUCUUUUUCUCUUUUUUUAAGUGGAUGCCGAGGCACCCCUAAUUCUACUGCCGGACACUUGUCCAUUUUUUCUGUGAGGUUGUCGAGCACUUGCUCUUUUUUAUUUCCUCAAAAUAUCUUUAUUUUUGCAUAGCCCAUGCGUCUAAUGCAAUAAUACUUCGGAAGAGUGAAUCUUUCUGAAUAAAUGUCUUGAUCUUAGGAGCAUGAUAAAUCUCUCAACAAGGGUCUAACUCAUUUUGAACAAACUCAAUACAGAGUAGAUAGCUUUUAUAAUCAUAAUUAAUAUUUUCAGUUUUAUUAGGAAUAUAAAACACUGAGGAUG